rnacentral:rRNA from 1 species
GAUGAACGCUGGCGGCGUGCCUAAUACAUGCAAGUCGAGCGAACAGAUAAGGAGCUUGCUCCUUUGACGUUAGCGGCGGACGGGUGAGUAACACGUGGGUAACCUACCUAUAAGACUGGGAUAACUUCGGGAAACCGGAGCUAAUACCGGAUAACAUUUGGAACCGCAUGGUUCUAAAGUGAAAGAUGGUUUUGCUAUCACUUAUAGAUGGACCCGCGCCGUAUUAGCUAGUUGGUAAGGUAACGGCUUACCAAGGCGACGAUACGUAGCCGACCUGAGAGGGUGAUCGGCCACACUGGAACUGAGACACGGUCCAGACUCCUACGGGAGGCAGCAGUAGGGAAUCUUCCGCAAAGGGCGAAAGCCUGACGGAGCAACGCCGCGUGAGUGAUGAAGGGUUUCGGCUCGUAAAACUCUGUUAUUAGGGAAGAACAAAUGUGUAAGUAACUGUGCACGUCUUGACGGUACCUAAUCAGAAAGCCACGGCCAACUACGUG